CGGUUAGGAACCUGCCCCGGAGGCCCGGGAUAACCAGGGGAAACUCUGGCUAAUACCGGAUGCCCCCCGGAUGGUCGCAUGGCCAACCGAGGAAACGCUCCGGUGCUCCGGGAGGGCCUCGCGGCCUAUCAGCUUGUUGGUGGGGUAACGGCCUACCAAGGCAUCGACGGGUAGCUGGUCUGAGAGGACGAUCAGCCACACUGGGACUGAGACACGGCCCAGACUCCUACGGGAGGCAGCAGUGGGGAAUAUUGCGCAAUGGGCGAAAGCCUGACGCAGCAACGCCGCGUGGGGGAUGAAGGCCUUCGGGUUGUAAACCCCUUUCAGCAGGGACGAAAAUGACGGUACCUGCAGAAGAAUGCCCCGGCCAACUACGUGCCAGCAGCCGCGGUAACACGUAGGGGGCAAGCGUUGUCCGGAUUUAUUGGGCGUAAAGAGCUCGUAGGCGGUUGCGUAAGUCGGAUGUGAAAACUCAGGGCUCAACCCGGAGACGCCAUCCGAUACUGCGCUGACUAGAGUCCGGUAGAGGAGCAUGGAAUUCCUGGUGUAGCGGUGAAAUGCGCAGAUAUCAGGAGGAACACCAGUGGCGAAGGCGGUGCUUCUGGGCCGGCACUGACGCUGAGGA
rnacentral:rRNA from 1 species